rnacentral:rRNA from 1 species
GACGGAGGAUGCAAGUGUUAUCCGGAAUCACUGGGCGUAAAGCGUCUGUAGGUGGUUUACCAAGUCUGUUGUUAAAAAUCAGGGCUUAACCCUGAUCCGGCAACAGAAACUAGUAGGCUGGAGUACGGUAGGGGCAGAGGGAAUUCUCGGUGUAGUGGUGAAAUACGUAGAUAUCGAGAAGAACACCAAUAGCGAAAGCACUCUGCUGGGCCGAAACUGACAUUGAGAGACGAAAGCUAGGGGAGCAAACGGG